rnacentral:tRNA from 1 species
UCCCUGGUGGCUCAGUGGUAAAGAACCUGCCUGCUAAGCAGGAGAUCUGGGUUCAAUCCCUGGGUUAGGAA